rnacentral:rRNA from 1 species
UACGAAGGGGGCUAGCGUUGUUCGGAAUUACUGGGCGUAAAGCGCGCGCAGGCGGUCUUCCAAGUCAGUGGUGAAAGCCCGGAGCUCAACUCCGGAACUGCCAUUGAAACUGUGAGACUAGAGUACGAGAGAGGUGAGUGGAAUUCCCAGUGUAGAGGUGAAAUUCGUAGAUAUCAGGAGGAACACCGAUGGCGAAGGCAGCUCGCUGGGACGGUACUGACGCUGAGACGCGAAAGCGUGGGGAGCAAACAGG